rnacentral:rRNA from 1 species
UCCUACGGGUGGCAGCAGUGAGGAAUAUUGGUCAAUGGACGAAAGUCUGAACCAGCCAUGCCGCGUGCAGGAUGAAGGCCCUAUGGGUUGUAAACUGCUUUUGUUUGGGAAGAAACUUCCGUACGUGUACGGAACUGACGGUACCAGGCGAAUAAGCAUCGGCUAACUCCGUGCCAGCAGCCGCGGUAAUACGGAGGAUGCAAGCGUUAUCCGGAUUUAUUGGGUUUAAAGGGUGCGUAGGCGGAAUAAUAAGUCAGUGGUGAAAUACCCCGGCUCAACCGGGGAACUGCCAUUGAUACUGUUAAUCUAGAGUACAUUUGAUGUGGGCGGAAUGUAGCAUGUAGCGGUGAAAUGCUUAGAUAUGCUACAGAACACCGAUUGCGAAGGCAGCUCACUAAACUGUAACUGACGCUGAGGCACGAAAGCGUGGGGAGCAAACAGGAUUAGAUACCCGAGUAGUCCC